CUGAUUUUGUUCACAUGUUCUGAAUAUUUGUUAAUUCAUUAACUCCAGAUAUGUGGACAGCUUGGCUUGAUUUGAAUAACACUUUGAAAUUUAAUGCACAGCCCCCUUCUCAGUGUGAUAAAAUUUUGGCUCCAGAAAUGACUGUAGUUCUUGAAAGUCUCCCAUCACAUAUAUCUUCUCACAAAAGUGUAAGAAACAUAUCUCUUUCUUUAACUCCUGGCUCAGAUUCAGGUUGUAAAGAUACGUGGUUUUCCAAACACCUGCGUGAAUGUUAGCAAGAUCCAGAUCUGCUUGAGGGACCUCUGUGUUUUUCUCUGAAUGUUUUCUCCACCAAGCACUGAUCCAAGAUCUGCUUCAAAUAGCAUAUAUUCUUUCCUGAAAGAUCUUUUCUUAUCCCUUUCAGGAAUGAUUAGGAGAAGCAUGUGCGGUAAGCCUGACUGCAAGGCUGUUAAUGCUGAAAAGAAAGGUAUUGGUUAGCCCAGAGUACUGAAGACGAGAGAAAAGGCUAAGUGAUUUUGAAACGAUUUUUAGGAGUGGAGCAGUGUAACUUAAGCUGCACUGGAAUGCUGAGGGAUAAGGUUCCUUCAGACUUUCUCAUGAAGGAGAUAAAACACCAAAAGAACUGGAAUUGGGGCUCCAAACAUUUAGAAAAGACCCUAGUCCUUUCACUUGUAAUGGUGUGAUAUCUAAAUUGUUCAUGAAUACUCUUGGGCAUGCUUGAUGAUCUAUGAAUAUGUAACAUCAAUUUGGAUUUAACUCUUGUUCAACUGGGUUCUUCUAAAGAUCAUGAGAAACUAACUGUCCUUUUCUCAGGACUUGAUGCUGUUAGUCGGCUAAUCGUCAGUAGGAACUGCAACUCUCAAUUUCUUCUCCAGUGAUAGUGACAAAUUUGUCACACAUGGUUUUCUCUCUCUUGUUUCUCCCACUUAUCACCAAUGGCUUGUGUUUGCAAAAGACAGCUAUGCACUUUGAAGUUAGACCUUACAAAGUGUGCGACCUUCAGCCUUCAACAAGAUGACUUAACUUCCCCAAGUUUCAGCUUCCUCCUCUGUAACCUAAGAGUCAUCCUAGUGUCUACCUUAGAGAUUUCUUCUGAAUGUUAUACAAGAAGAUGCAAUGUAAAGGAUUUAGCCCAGUUCUGGCAUGCAGUAAUUUAACACAAAUAACAGUAACUAAUAUUUAUUAACUGCUUAUUAUUUGCCAGGCAAAGUUCUAAACACUUUCUACAUAUUAACUCACUUAAUAAUAUUGUUAAGUCCAUUUUUCAGAUGUGAAAGUGGAGCUACCUAUUUAUUGAAAGUUUAAAAAAUGAAUAAAUAAUGCUACUUUCUUACUUUCCCAAGCUGGAAUAGAAUUGAGAGCUAGACAUUGGAGUAAGCCAGAUGAAUCUCAAAAUAUUGCUUUUAUUAUUGAUGAAGGCAAUCAAAGGAAAUACCUCAGAUCUUUACCCUUGCUAAUAUUUUGUCCAAAAGACAACAUGUCCUCCUGCUUACAGACAUCACUGCACAAUUGCAGGUUUCCUCAGGAAGAGCAAGCAAAUUAUGAUGUGCCGAGAGCCCAAAAAGUGUCCUUUUUGCAGGAAGUCAGACCCGAAAACAGGAAAGAGAUGACUGAACUGAGCAUGCCCAGUUCUUUCUCCCAACUCCUCCAUCAGGUGUGAAGACCAGCCUGCUUUUGACCAGCAUGCGGAGCGUCUCUCUACGUAUGUCCUGCAGGUGAAAAUGGAUUCUCAGAAAGUUAAGACGCUUGCCAAAAUUACACAGGUAAUGAGUGGCAGAGUCAGGAUUUGAGCCCAGCUUUCCAUCCCAAGUGCUCCCUUGCGGCCAUUUAACCUGGACUCAGCCAAGACCAGGAUCCAUUGAGCUUGGCAAGAACUGUGCCAAGGCCAUCCUUAGGGGCAAAGCCAAACUGCAGCGGGGGAUGAUGAAGGGUAAAGUGUAGUCCCACCACAAUGAGGAAUAAAUGUUAUUUUGGAAUGAA